rnacentral:rRNA from 1 species
GAUGAAUGCUAGCGAUAGGCCUAACACAUGCAAGUCGAGGGGCAUCACAUGAAGUAGCAAUACGGAUGGUGGCGACCGGCGCACGGGUGAGUAACACGUAUGCAACCUGCCUUCAACAAGGGGAUAACCCGUUGAAAGACGGACUAAUACCCUAUAACACAGGGGUCCCGCAUGGGGAAUAUUUGUUAAAGGACAACCGGUUGAAGAUGGGCAUGCGUUCCAUUAGCUAGUUGGCGGGGUAACGGCCCACCAAGGCAACGAUGGAUAGGGGAACUGAGAGGUUUAUCCCCCACACUGGUACUGAGACACGGACCAGACUCCUACGGGAGGCAGCAGUGAGGAAUAUUGGUCAAUGGACGCAAGUCUGAACCAGCCACGUCGCGUGAAGGAAGACGGCCCUACGGGUUGUAAACUUCUUUUAUACGGGGAAUAAAGUGCCCCACGCGUGGGGUUUUGCAUGUACCGUAUGAAUAAGGAUCGGCUAACUCCGUGCCAGCAGCCGCGGUAAAUCACA